AGAAUGAACGCUGGCGGCGCGCCUAAUACAUGCAAGUCGAGCGAGAAGACGUAGCAAUACGUUUGUAAAGCGGCGAACGGGUGAGGAAUACAUGGGUAACCUACCCUCGAGUGGGGAAUAACUAGCCGAAAGGUUAGCUAAUACCGCGUAUGCUCCUUGGACUUCGGUUCAGGGAGGAAAGCGAUACCGUGGGUAUCGCGCUCUUGGUUGGGCUCAUGUCCUAUCAGCUUGUUGGUGAGGUAACGGCUCACCAAGGCUUCGACGGGUAGCUGGUCUGAGAGGACGAUCAGCCACACUGGCACUGCGACACGGGCCAGACUCCUACGGGAGGCAGCAGUAAGGAUAUUGCGCAAUGGGCGAAAGCCUGACGCAGCGACGCCGCGUGGGGGAUGAAGGUCUUCGGAUUGUAAACCCCUUUCGGAGGUAAGAUGGAACGAGCAAUCGUUCGGACGGUACCUCCAGAAGCAGCCACGGCUAACUCGUGCCAGCAGCCGCGUAAUCUA
rnacentral:rRNA from 1 species